rnacentral:rRNA from 1 species
CAGUAGCCACGGUAAUACGUAGGGUGCGAGCGUUAAUCGGAAUUACUGGGCGUAAAGCGUGCGCAGGCGGUUCGUUAAGACAGAUGUGAAAUCCCCGGGCUUAACCUGGGAACUGCAUUUGUGACUGGCGAGCUAGAGUAUGGCAGAGGGGGGUAGAAUUCCACGUGUGGCAGUGAAAUGCGUAGAGAUGUGGAGGAAUACCGAUGGCGAAGGCAGCCCCCUGGGCCAAUACUGACGCUCAUGCACGAAAGCGUGGGGAGCAAACAGGAUUAGAUACCCCUGUAGUCCCUGUCUCUUAUAC